CAGCAGCCACGGUAAUACGUAGGUGGCAAGCGUUGUUCGGAUUUACUGGGCGUAAAGGGCGCGUAGGCGGACUGAUAAGUCAGGGGUGAAAUCCCAAGGCUCAACCUUGGAACUGCCUUUGAUACUGUUUGUCUUGAGUUCGAGAGAGGUAAGUGGAACUGCGAGUGUAGAGGUGAAAUUCGUAGAUAUUCGCAAGAACACCAGUGGCGAAGGCGGCUUACUGGCUCGAAACUGACGCUGAGGCGCGAAAGCGUGGGGAGCAAACAGGAUUAGAUACCCGAGUAGUCCCUGUCUCUUAUAC
rnacentral:rRNA from 1 species